rnacentral:rRNA from 1 species
UACAGAGGUCCCGAGCGUUGUUCGGAUUCACUGGGCGUAAAGGGUGCGCAGGUGGGUUGGCAAGUUCGAUGUGAAAGCCCCGGGCUUAACCCGGGAAUGGCAUUGGAAACUGCUGAUCUGGAGGAUCGGAGGGGGGACUGGAAUUCUUGGUGUAGCAGUGAAAUGCGUAGAUAUCUGGAGGAACACCGGUGGCGAAGGCGGCAUCCUGGACCAAUAUUGACGCUGAGGAGCGAAAGCCAGGGGAGCAAACGGG